GAUGAACGCUGGCGGCGUGCUUAACACAUGCAAGUCGAACGUGAGGGGGUAGCAAUAUCCUUGAAAGUGGCGCACGGGUGAGUAAUACGUAGGUAACCUGCCCUGGAGUGGGGGAUAACAGCUAGAAAUGGCUGCUAAUACCGCAUGAGGCCGAGACACUGGGAAGUGUUUUGGCGAAAAACUCUGGUGCUUCAGGAGGGGCCUGCGGCCGAUUAGCUAGUUGGCGGGGUAAGAGCCCACCAAGGCAGUGAUCGGUAGCUGGUCUGAGAGGACGAUCAGCCACACGGGAACUGAGACACGGUCCCGACUCCUACGGGGGGCAGCAGUGAGGAAUAUUGGGCAAUGGGCGGAAGCCUGACCCAGCAACGCCGCGUGGAGGAAGACGGCCUUCGGGUUGUAAACUCCUUUACGGGGAAGAGGAAGGACGGUACCCGACGAAUAAGCCACGGCUAACUACGUGCCAG
rnacentral:rRNA from 1 species